GGCGGGCAGUGUCACGGGUAGGGGCGGGGCCGCGGUGCCAGCCUGCAUAACCACACAUGGUGCUGCGUGGACUGGCCUCUGAGAGCAGGCUGGGGACACUGAGGUGAGCAGGUGGGGACCUGGUGAGUCUCCUACUGAGUGCACACGGAAGGGCGGGGCUGGCUGGGCUCUGAGCUGACGGGAGAGCAGCAAGCUUGGUGCCCAAGGAGGCCGGUGAGCGCUGACUUAGUGUGAGCACAGCAUCAGAAGCAGGCUUUGGGGGCGGGGGUCCCAUGGCUUUGUCCAUCAGGCUAUCAGUGGACUCAGGCCCAGGUCUCUGAACAGGAUGCCCUCCACAUAAGCAGAAGCCCAGCUGGCAUUCAUGGGGCACAAGAUGGGGACAGGAGCUGGGAUUCUGGGAUAAAGCAGAAAUCCCACUAUCAAAACUGUGUCCUACGGCCAGGAGAACGGACUGCACUGUAGCCUUGAAAGGUGCCCCAGAACAGAAAUCUCUCCAUCUAGAGGCAGGGCUGGGUGUUCUGAGGUCCCAUAUGGGGCAAGAUAGGCAGACUGCAAAGGUGACAGCUAGUGGGACCCGAUGGCUGCGUUCUGCCAUUUCCAACCUCAUCUCCAGCGGUGUCCCUGAACCAGGGGCUCUGUUUGAUGAACCGUGGAAAAUCGUUGAAGAGUGAAUAAAAUGCCAAUUUCAUCCUGAUUCAUCACUAAGGGGACCCGGCUGCUUGCUGAAAUGAUGGUCUGGAGAUUUUGAAGCUGGACAGAAUUUCAAGGAUAGGGUAUUCAGCACGGGGUUUACAUGUUCUCAGAGAAGGGAGCCGUUGCUGUCAGAACGCCCCAGGAAUGGGUGUGCCCCACCAACUUCAUUUCCUCUUUGGUUGUCCUAUAGGGUCAGGAGGCUGAUUAGAUUGGGGGACGUCAUCAACACAUGAUACCGUGAGGCAAGCACAGACGGGACAAAAGUGCUCGCUCACAGUGCGAGACAGGGAAGCCGCGCCGGUGCUGGGAGCCGGAGCCGGCAGAACCUUUGCGGCCAGCAGAGCAGGUGCGGAGAGUCUUGUGGGACAGGAGGGAGUCUCACUCCUACCCUGUUGCGUACUGCCUACAAUGUAUCAAGCUCUCCCCAAAAGAUCUGCUGAGUUGAUUCAACAGGGCAUGUGUUUACUGCCAUUCUCAACUGUUUUUUUUUUUUUUUUCUUCCCACUUUGGAUGAGUCUGCUUGCAAAGAAAACCAUGUUCUCAAGUUGCUGGUUAAGUGGCAGAAGUGGAAACCGGGGCCAGUACUGAAGUCCCUGGGGAGCACAGCGUCCCUGUGAACACAGGCUCCAGUGGGGUCUUCUUCGUGGUGGCCUCAGAAACCCUCAGCAAGCGAUUAUUUGAAAUGUGAAUAGGCUGGAGCUCCUAAAACUAGAAGUGACCCCAAAGAGGAGUCUUCAAGCGGGUCAGACGUGACCACUCAGGAGCUCAUGUCUGAUUUGGAAAUGCUGGUGUGGAAAAGCCUUUCUACAAAAGGCCACAAGUAUUUACAUCCAAGGUGUAAACAAGCAAAGCAGAGGCGCCCCAGAAUGGAAUCUGGAAUCUCAUCAGGUCCUUAAUAGCAUCUUUCAAGGGUUCACCCAUUCAUUGAGAUGUUGACUUUGAUGUGAACUGAAGAACUGGGAGGUUGCCAUCCACAGAGAACAACCAGCCCUGAUGGGACUUUUGGCAGGUGCCAGGCCCUGGCUAAGCUCUACAUGCAUUAUCUCAUCUGAUCCUCCGCCCAACUUGAAAAGGUAGGCAUAUCCUUAGGCCCACUUUACAGAUAAGGAAACUGAGGCUCAGAGAAGUCAAGCAGCCUGUCCAGAGCCAGACAAACACAGUAAAUAGAAGAACGUGGCCUUGAACCUGCAACAUGAUGCACGCCCCUCGCCUUUCCCCAAGGAAGCAGCUAUGUCUCCACAGCGUGUUCAAGGUUUGCAUCUCACAGAAACUCUUUUUUGGUUAGUAAUAAUAACUGCAAAUGCUUCUAUUUAUUGAGCCCUUGUUACAUCCUAGACCGUUUGUGUGCAUAGUCUCAUUUCACAAAAAAAGUCAGAGAUGAAAGCAAGUAUUUUCACCAAUUUUGAGAUGAGGGUACUGAGGCUUAGAGCUGGUCAUUGGUGAAGCCAGGAUGGGAACUGGUCUCUGCUGGUUCUCCCCAUUGGCCCAUCUCACCUCUGAGAAGCCGGAGGACAUCCCAUGACACUGGACCUAUGGCACAGUACUGAUUCCCCUCCGGAAUCUGGACUUGGGCUGGCCUUUUCCUUCCCACUUCCUUCCAGAGGGAUUCAUGAGGUCAGGACUUUGGAAGCUGUUCAUGUCCUCCCAGAGACUCUGCCCAUCACUGAGGACGUGGCCUCCCCAGGGACUCUGAGCAUGGUCUCCACACCUGGGCCCCCCACAGGCAGAAUCGAGGAUGCCUGGUCUUCACUCUUCCUCUGGUUCCACCUCUGUGACUGUCGCCCAUAAAAACCUUCCCGGCUCCUGAGCUGCCUUCUUCCUUCCUUCCCUAAGAGGCCAGGGAAACUUCCGGCCUUCUAAUGCAGAGCUUCCUCGUUUGAAACUUCCCAGUCAAGGGCUCAACAGGACCAGCAUGUAACUUUUUAUCCACUUUUAAAUAGAAAUAGCAGGGGAGUCGUAAAUGCUUCCAUAUUAGAUUGUGGUGACGGUUGAACACCUCUGUAAACUGUGCAUGUAAAACAAGUAAAUUCUAUGGUAUAUAAAUUAUAUCUCAACAACAUUGUUUUUUGAAAAAAGGAAAGAAAUAAGAAGGUUUUUUAAAAGAGCUACAAAGGCGCUUGAGCACACAGAUCCUCCUUAAUUACUGCAGGAAGCAGGGGCUACAUGGGAAAGGCUGGCCACAUAUGCAUGGCAACUCAACUGAAUGAUCUAGCCCACUCCCUUUAUCUCCUUGCAGAAAAACUGGAAUGGAGAUUUGAAUUCAUCCAACUGACCUUUAAGCUCUGGUGAAGGUUCAGUGGGGGGCGGGAAUGGGGGUGGACGCUGAAGCAGAGUUUAGCAUUAGGUGCGUUCCUGGUGGGGCUCAUCUAUCCAGUUCCUGAAGGCCCAGUCUGUUAGGAAACUAAGGCAGGACCCAUGGCUUGAACAACUGCAAGAUCAGCCCUUUGGAGAGGUUAACUGGUCCCCAGUCACUAGUAAACGCAGAGUAAACACAUCCCUAAGACUCAUCUCAUCGAUAAAAUAUAUAAAAUUCGAUGAAAUUCAAUGUAGUACCUCCUUCAUAAGGUUACCCUAAGGGUUAAACAAGAUAAUCCACAGAAAAUGCAAAAACUUAGAACAUGCCUGGCUGGCUGACUGAUUUUUUUUAAAAAUUUAAUAUACUACUUAAAGGAACAAGUCUAGGCCAGAGUCCCCACCUUACACCUGGCAGUGAGUUAUAUGAUCUCAUUCAGUCUUCACAAUAAUCGUGUGCAAUGGCUCUUACUGUUCCUAUUUUACAGACAGGGAAAGAGAGCCUCCCAGAAACAAAGACACUGGCCCAAGUCAUCCAGCGAAUAGGUAGCAGAACUGGGAUUUGAACUCAGGCCUGCCUGGCUUUGAAGCAGUUGUCACUCCACUACGCUAUUAUGACAAGGACCCCACCCAUGCUUCCGGGGUGUGGACUGAAACAGAUUUCACUGAUUGUCUACACACAGGAGGGGUCCCAUUCAGCAUCUGUCACAUUAACAAGACCCCCCUCUUCUCUGAGGUCCACACUCUCAGUUGUCAUGGCUACAUCCUCAAAACAGGCCCAACCGAAACAUCACAGCCCAUGAGGCUCCCAGAUGGUUAACCUGCCCUCCGGCUUGGCGCUCAGUACUUAAAAGCAGAACCUGAAGGGGCCCUGAGGUGCUAUUUUUAGCUCCCCGUUUUUGUUGUCCUUUUUGGGUGAUCUGAUAACACAGGCUGAACUAACGUUUCCUGUUCCGGUGUUUUCUUCUCACCAAAUCCUACCUUGAGAAACGCUGAGACUCCAAAGGGCUGGCCGAGUUACAGAGCUGCAGCUUCUGAUUUCUCAAAAGGGACCUGCAGGAGGCUGGCAGGGAGGCCCUGAUCUAGGCACCCUCCCAGGGCUGCCUGGGGUAGGAGAGAGGCUGGAUGGGAGCCAAUGGCUUCCAGACACUGAUUUCGAGGGAAAGCCUUAAUGAGCCUCCAGAAGAGGGGUCAUAAUGACAAUUCCAGUGGCCACGCUCCAAGCCGUGGACAGGUCACAUGAGCAGAAGCCCAAUGCAGUGGCUUGGCUUGCCAGAGACUGCCUCUGAGGCUAUGGCUCUGGAUGUCACCCCCUCCACCCCCCCGUCACUCCCCUACCAGCCUGCUGGUGUCCAACAGUCCACAAUUAGAAAUUCACUCCUUGGGCCAAGUGGUCACCCUGUUGCCAAGCCCUGCCCUUUCCAAGUUCUCUCUGGCACUGCCAACAGAGUUGCAUUCUCCAGGACACAAGUGUGACCACACCAACCCCUCUCAAAACUCAUCAGGGAUCCUUCAUUGCCUUCCAGAUGAAAUUCACACAUCCUCGCCUGGUUCACAAGACACUCCAGCCCCUUCGCUACACACCAUGCUCCCAGCUGCUGCGUCCCUGCACUUCUCAGGAAGGCUGAUUUGACUUGGACGGGGUCUGGCUGCUCCCAGAGCCACCCCUGUGAAAUUCAUACGACACUCAAAGGUCACCUCCCCCUAUAAAGCUGCCCCUACCUACCCCACUGAGCUCUCAGAAUCUUAUUCCUUUGAGCAUAAUAAAUGCUCAACCCAAGUUUGCUGCAUUGAAUUAACUCAAGGCAUCUGCCUUCAAUUAAAAUAUGCAAAUUCAUCUGGAAAAGGAAGCAUUCCUUAGUCACUGGCACUUCUGUGCCAACAUGCUUGCUGGGCGCUUCCCUGAGUGCAGAAUCUGAUGGUGGAGGGACAACUGGGGGGGCAGAUGCAGGGAGAAAGGGGGAGGGUGCAGAGGUAACGCUGGGAAGGCCUUGCCCCCUGCCUGGGACUGAUGGAGGAGAGAUCUGGGGGCAGACAACUGGCAGUCUGUGACCCUUCUUUUCACCCACCCCCCAAAUCCUGCUGAGAGUGUGUUUCCAAAUCCUAUUUUUCAUAAUGGUACGAUGGAACGUCAUUAAUUCAACCACAUAAGACUUGCCAAAAAAUGGUUUCUGCUAAAUGACGGAAAUUCGUAUUCUGUUAUUUUGUUCCUGCUGUGCUUCUCGUGAAACUGGUGGAAUCAAGGAGCUCACAGUCUGACGGAAGAGACCGGGCUGGGAACUGAUCCUUCUGGAACAGACUGUGCCCUGCUGAGGGAAGAGGAGAGAGUUUCCGGGUAACUGUAACCGUCUGCUGCAGUCAAGGGAGUGUCCUGUCUCAGCUACAGAUGGAGAGUGUGAGCCUGAGAAUGUGUGAUUUGCCCAAGAUCUCUGUCGGCCCCCACUCACUGUGAAGAAGUUGAACAUCAGAGACGUUAAGCCACUUACUGAGGGUCACACAGGAACUCAUGGUGGGGUCAGAAUUUGAACCCAGAAAAGGUUGACUUCAAAAUCAGCUCAUUUUACUGCUGUACCACACAGAUGUGAAGCAGAAACUGGGCUUCGUAUCUCCUUCAUACCCAUCUCAGAGCCUGGAUCCCAGUUAAAUGCCUAAGGGAUUAUUUAUGAAUGAGUGAUCAAAUGAACUCAUGUUUGUAAACUCAAGGUGUGUAUUACCUUGGGGGAUUCUCUGCCCCUUACCUAGAAUUCCCAGAGCCCUGGUAGCCAGGGAUCAGAAAGUAAAGAAUUGUGCGAAAAAAACAACCCCAAAACCUCACCUAAAUGGGGGUAUGUCAGAAGGACGCAGGAGCUGCUGAAAGAGCACCCAAUGGCUACAGCUGGAACAAUUUAAAUGAUAAAAUAAAUUAAGGAGCAUUGGAUUAUAAUUGAAAGUAUGAAAUAAAUAUUCAUGAGUCCAUAGUGAUAUAAAUCAAUAACUGAAUAAAUAAACAAAUGGGAAAAUGGACAGAACCUUCCAUGCAGAAGAAUUCCAAAUCAUUUACGGAGAUGCUCCACCCUCAAGGAAGUGGAGAAUAAAACUCCUUACUCCUUAAGUGUGGGCUGCACGUGGUGUUGUCUUUCCCAAGAGGACACAGCAUGGAGAAGAGGAAAAGAGAGUCACUUUGCAGUGGCGAAAACUGACAAGCCCUCCCUCAGCCAGGUGACCGAGGUCAACAUCAACAGUAAUCAGUCUUGUUGGAUGCGAAUGGCACUUUUCCCUGUGGUCUUCUGCCCCAGAAACCAUUUCCCCUGUCUAAUUACGAGAAAAAAACAGCAGACGAAUCACAACUGAGAGACUCCUUGCAAAAUACCUGACCACCCAUCCUCAUGCUGUCAAGGUCAUCAAAAACAAUAGGGGCUUCCCUGGUGGCGCAGUGGUUGGGAGUCCACCUGCCGAUGCAGGGGACACGGGUUCGU